rnacentral:rRNA from 1 species
GAUGAACGCUGGCGGCGUGCUUAACACAUGCAAGUCGAACGAUGAAGCUGGAGCUUGCUCCGGUGGAUUAGUGGCGAACGGGUGAGUAACACGUGAGCAAUCUGCCCUUGACUCUGGGAUAACUGCGGGAAACUGUAGCUAAUACCGGAUACGACACCUUGGGGCAUCCCAGGGUGUGGAAAGAAUUUCGGUCAAGGAUGAGCUCGCGGCCUAUCAGCUAGUUGGUGAGGUAAUGGCUCACCAAGGCGACGACGGGUAGCCGGCCUGAGAGGGUGACCGGCCACACUGGAACUGAGACACGGUCCAGACUCCUACGGGAGGCAGCAGUGGGGAAUAUUGCACAAUGGGCGAAAGCCUGAUGCAGCAACGCCGCGUGAGGGAUGAAGGCCUUCGGGUUGUAAACCUCUUUUAGCAGGGAAGAAGCGAAAGUGACGGUACCUGCAGAAAAAGCACCGGCGAACUACGUGCCAGCCGCCGCAGUAA